AGAGGUCAACAAUGCUGAGACCAGUGAUGUACCAGCAGAUUCUGAACAACAACCCGUGGACUCGGGUUCAGAUCCACCUUCUGCUGAUGCAGAUGCAGAGAAUGUUCAAGAGGGUGAAUCAGCCCCACCAGCAAAUGAAGAGCCUCCUGCCACUUCUGGGAGUGAAGAGGAACAGCAGCAGCAGGAACCCACACAGGCAGAGAAUCAAGAGCCUCCUGCCACCUCUGGGAGUGAAGAGGAACAGCAGCAGCAGGAACCCACACAGGCAGAGAAUCAAGAGCCUCCUGCCACCUCUGGGAGUGAAGAGGAACAGCAGCAGCAGGAAUCCACACAGGCAGAGAAUCAAGAGCCUUCUGACUCUGCUGGGGAAGGACAGGAAACUCAACCUGAGGAAGGAAAUGUAGAGUCACCUCCCUCUUCUCCUGAAAACUCACAAGAACAACCACAGCAAACAAAUCCAGAGGAGAAACCGCCUGCUCCUAAGACUCAGGAAGAGCCACAGCACUAUAGAGGUCGUCCUCCAAAGAAGAUUUUUCCUUUUUUCAUUUACAGAGGAAGACCAGUAGUAGUAUUCAGGCCUCGAAGACCUAGGAAUCCAUUCGCCAGAAGAUUUUAGAGAGUACCUGAGAAGAUUAUGACCUUCAGAUGUGUAGGUCAACAAAUCACUGUUGAUUGUCUAUAAUAUUCCAAUAAAAAUUUUCAGCAUGC
rnacentral:lncRNA from 1 species